AGAGUUUGAUCCUGGCUCAGAACGAACGCUGGCGGCGUGCUUAACACAUGCAAGUCGAACGCGAAGGGGAUCUUCGGAUCCCCCUAGAGUGGCGCACGGGUGAGUAACGCGUAGAUAAUCUACCUCUAUAUUUGGGAUAACAGCUCGAAAGGGCUGCUAAUACCGGAUACACUUAUUUGAACGCGAGUUUGAGUGAGGAAAGGUGACCUCUCCUUGGAAGUUACUGUAUAGAGAUGAGUCUGCGUACCAUUAGCUAGUAGGUAGGGUAAAGGCCUACCUAGGCAACGAUGGUUAGCGGGUCUGAGAGGAUGAUCCGCCACACUGGAACUGGAACACGGACCAGACUCCUACGGGAGGCAGCAGUGAGGAAUAUUGCGCAAUGGGGGAAACCCUGACGCAGCGACGCCGCGUGGGUGAUGAAGGCCUUCGGGUUGUAAAGCCCUGUCGUCGAAGACGAAGGUGGGGGCGUUAAUAGCGCUUCUGCUUGACGGUACUCGGAGAGGAAGCCCCGGCUAACUCUGUGCCAGCAGCCGCGGUAAUACAGAGGGGGCAAGCGUUAUUCGGAAUUAUUGGGCGUAAAGGGCGCGUAGGCGGUUUCUUAAGUCGGAUGUGCAAUCCCCGGGCUCAACCUGGGAACUGCAUCCGAGACUGGGAGGCUAGAGUACUGGAGAGGUUGGUGGAAUUCCACGUGUAGCGGUGAAAUGCGUAGAGAUGUGGAGGAACACCAGUGGCGAAGGCGGCCAACUGGACAGUAACUGACGCUGAGGCGCGAAAGUGUGGGUAGCAAACAGGAUUAGAUACCCUGGUAGUCC
rnacentral:rRNA from 1 species